GCAAUCUGUCUUAUUUCCGUGUUAGCCGUCAGGGUCUGAUUUGUCAUGUGUAAACAGCCGUUGUCGAUUUUGACGAUAACCUAUGGUAGUAGAGUAGCUUAA
rnacentral:pre_miRNA from 1 species